GAUGAACGCUGGCGGCGUGCCUAAUACAUGCAAGUCGAGCGAACAGAUGAGGAGCUUGCUCCUCUGACGUUAGCGGCGGACGGGUGAGUAACACGUGGAUAACCUACCUAUAAGACUGGGAUAACUUCGGGAAACCGGAGCUAAUACCGGAUAAUAUAUUGAACCGCAUGGUUCAAUAGUGAAAGACGGUUUUGCUGUCACUUAUAGAUGGAUCCGCGCCGCAUUAGCUAGUUGGUAAGGUAACGGCUUACCAAGGCAACGAUGCGUAGCCGACCUGAGAGGGUGAUCGGCCACACUGGAACUGAGACACGGUCCAGACUCCUACGGGAGGCAGCAGUAGGGAAUCUUCCGCAAUGGGCGAAAGCCUGACGGAGCAACGCCGCGUGAGUGAUGAAGGUCUUCGGAUCGUAAAACUCUGUUAUUAGGGAAGAACAAAUGUGUAAGUAACUAUGAACGUCUUGACGGUACCUAAUCAGAAGGCCACGGCUAACUACG
rnacentral:rRNA from 1 species